CGACCCUUAAGCCUAAGUCGUUUAGUGUUGAGAACUUAUAUCUAUAAUUCUCCAAAGUCAGUGGUAACGUUAGGACAUUUUCUAAGCGUAGUAAUAUCUUCUCGCUUCUGUAGAUGUGUCUAAAAGUUUCCUGAACGUUUUAACUCCAAU
rnacentral:misc_RNA from 1 species